AGAUGUGAGGGUGAUCUGGCUGCGAUAUCUGUCACCCCAUUGAUUGCCAGGGUUGAAUUGGCUGACCUGACUGGUUAGGCGGGUGUCCCCUUCCUCCCUCACCGCUCCACAUGUGUCCCUCCCAAAGCUGCGCACUAGAUCAAAGAGGAUGGCCUUCCCCAAAUAGAGAUGGGCCAGUUGAGGGUAUAUGAGCAGCUGCGCUCCCUUGCUAGAACCUCCAAACAAGCUCUCAAGGAAUCUGAAAUAGUCAUGCUUGGUAUUCGUUUAAUGUUGUCCAAAUAUAUUUAUCCUUGUAUGAAGUUAUAGAAUGAAAAAACAU
ensembl:misc_RNA 7SK 7SK RNA